UACGGAGGGUGCAAGCGUUAUCCGGAUUUACUGGGUUUAAAGGGCGCGUAGGCGGUUGUAUCAGUCGGGCUUAUAAGUGCGGGGCUCAACCCCGUGAUGGGUUCGGGACGGUAUGACUGGGGCGCGGUCGAGGGAGACGGAAUGCCGGGUGUAGUGGUGAAAUGCGUAGAGAUCGGGAGGAAUACCAGUGGCGAAGGCGGCCUUCUGGACUGACACUGACGCUGAGGCGCGAAAGCCAGGGGAGCAAACGGG
rnacentral:rRNA from 1 species